AGGACGAACGCUGGCGGCGUGCUUAACACAUGCAAGUCGAGCGGAAAGGCCCUUCGGGGUACUCGAGCGGCGAACGGGUGAGUAACACGUGAGCAACCUGCCCUUAGCUCCGGGAUAGCUCCGGGAAACCGGAAUUAAUACCGGAUAUGACUUAGGCCGACAUCGGCUGUGGUGGAAAGUUUUUCGGCUGGGGAUGGACUCGCGGCCUAGUCAGCUUGUUGGUGGGGUAUGGCCUACCAAGGCGACGACGGGUA
rnacentral:rRNA from 1 species